rnacentral:antisense_RNA from 1 species
AGGCUUUAAACGGGUACCGAGAAGGAUCUACUGCCUUCACACGCGCUCCUUUUAACUUAAAACACUGCUUUCACCUUAAAAGAGAAACAAGAGGAACACACGGAAGCCAGAAAGAGAAUGACGGAAACGGAGGGGUUCAUCUCAAGCAGGGUCCGAAUCCUCAGAUGGAACCACAGGCCACCAGGCCAGCACAGGGGCCUCCGGGAGGGUCUGCCCUGCUCCACGGCCGCAGGGGUGUGUGUGCAUCAGUGAGUGUGCCUGUGUGCAUGCAUGCCAACAGGCGCACAUGCAUGCGUCCACACAAGUACGUGUGUGCAUGUGUGUGAGUGUGCAUGUGUGCGCAUGACUGUGCAUAUAUGUGCACGUGUGUGCGAGUGUGCAUGUGCAUGUGUAUGUGUGCGCAUGAGUGUGUGUGCAUGAGUGCAAGUGUGCAUGUGUGUAUGUAUGUGUGCGAGCGUGUGUGCGCAUGUGCUUGUGUGUGCAUGUGUGCGAGUGUGCAUGUGUGCGAGUGUGCAUAUGUGCAUUGUGUGCGUGUGGUCCGUGUACACAUCUGUCCAUACAUGUGAGUGUGCAUGCAUGUGUUGUGUGUGUACGUGUCUGCACGUUGGUGUGUGUAUAUGUGUGCCUGUGAGUGUGCAGAGAGGCCCUGGCGCUCGAGGAGGGCCUGCAGCUCAUAGUACUCACCCGGCGGGCCCAGUUGACGAGGUCAUCCAGCUUGGCCACCACAUACUCGCCCCGGCUGCUGGGUUUGGGAGCCACGGCUCUGGCCUUUGGCAGGGCAGGCUGGGUGCUGGCACAGAGACACACGGGCACAGGAGGUGUCAGCCACGCAGGUGCUUCCCAGAGGCGGAUGCGAGCCCCCACGGCCGCUGCCAGAGGCCUGGACCCACAUGAGCAGGUCAACAGUGUCCAAGCAAGGACGGUCCCAGGAUCAUCCACAGAAGGAAACUGGCAGCAGGCCCUCCACACAUGACCAAGGAAUCUGCAGUCCGCUAAGCGGGGAGGGCGCUGCCCACGUCAACCUACACAGCAAAGCACCCCUAGAGGAGCCAGCCUCAAAGGAAGCGCAGAGGAGGGAACGCGCCUGCACGAAGUCUCCUGGGAGAUCCUUCCCGAGGCGAAGACUAAGGCCAGAGCAGGGCCUUGCCACGCCCAGGGGCACUCAGCGGGAGGAAACCUGGAGGUGCCAGGAAUCCUGGCUCACAAGGAAGAAUCCAGAAAGGCAGGCUUGGUGCUGGUGAUGGCUGAACUGUGUCCCUCCACCCGACCUGCAUCUGAAGCCCUAACCCCAGGACCUCAGAAUGUGACUGCUUUUGGAGAUGGGGUCUUUAAAGGGAU